rnacentral:tRNA from 1 species
UGAGAUGUGGCUCGGUUGAUAGAGUGUCUGCCUAGCAUGCACAAAGCCCUGGUUCAAUUCCCAGCACCACAU